UUAUCCCCAAUUCUUCUCAAUCCAGGUCUCUGAAUAUCUCCUGUAAACACGCUGUGAAUAGCAUUGGAGAGAUCGUAUCUCCCUGCCUGACGCCCUCCUUUAUUGGGAUUUUGUUGCUUUCGUUAUGGAGGACUACGGUGGCUGUGGAGCCGCUAUAGGUGUCUUUCAGUAUUUUUACAUACGGCUCGUCUACACUCUGAUUCCGCAAUGCCUCCACGACUGCUGAGGUUUCGACUGAAUCAAACGCUUUCUCGUAAUCAAUGAAAGCUAAAUUAUGGGGUUUUACGUGCCAAAACCACUUUCUGAUUAUGAGGCACGCCGUAGUGGAGGACUCCGGAAAUUUCGACCACCUGGGGUUCUUUAACGUGCACCUAAAUCUAAGCACACGGGUGUUUUCGCAUUUCGCCCCCAUCGAAAUGCGGCCGCCGUGGCCGGGAUUCGAUCCCGCGACCUCGUGCUCAAAUCAAUGAAAGCUAUAUAUAAGGGUUGGUUAUAUUGCGCACAUUUCUCUAUCACCUGACUGAUAGUGUGAAUAUGGUCUAUUGUUGUGUAGCCUUUGGUCUAUUGUAUAUGGUCUAUUGUUGAGUAGACGCGGGGAGGUGCCGCGGCGGCCGCGUUGUGUGAAAGGUGGAAAGGCGACAGUAGAUGUGCCGGCAGAGGCGCAUUAGAAGAUUUUAUAUGUUCCUUUUUCUUUUACCAUUUAUUGUAUGGCCCGAUCCGGUAUUGCCCGUCGAUCUCCCGAUUCAAAGGCAUGUGGCCGCAGACAUCAUCAUCAUCAUCAGCCCUCCCUCCCCAAUUCUGUUCGUAUGCGGCCUACCCAACCUAUUUAAUUUUGCCCCUCACCCACCGCGAUCAAGUGCGUGUCACUCCCCCCCAUCCCCCCAAGUAGCAGUAGUAGUAGGGAGGAGGGGAGAGGGAGUGCCCGUCCUCUUCUUCCUCAGGCGGCGGCCAGGCCUUGCGCUCUGGCAGCGUCUUAGGCCACCUGGACGUCCCGGAGUUCGAAAUUCGGUUCUGAGCUGAGCAGUGUAGUCUAGCACUGCUCUAGGGUGGUGUUGAGAAGGGGAAGUAAUGAGCUGGUGCGUUUUUUUUUUUUUUUUUGUACUUACCAGGGGGCACACCCACAUGAAGCGGUGAAGAUUGGCUCCACCUGCGCAUAAUUUAGAGGAGACUGUACGUCAAGGGGUUUGGGAAAGUGCGAGUCAGUAAGAGGCGCCAGGUUACCGAUUGCUUUUCACUUAAGUUUUUGUGAACGGCGGGGUAAUGCCCCCUGCCUUGCAGCAGAAUUUUCUUGUAGGAUGCCAUCGGGCGGGCCCCUGCCUGAAUGGCAGAAGGAUUCAAACUGCUUAUCACAAUUGAGCUUUUCGUGCGGCCGCGGAUGGCGAGUAAGCAGCCAGUGAGCAACUGGGAGCAGCUUCGUUUCCCGGAAGACAGGAGUGCGCCAAUGCCCAAACAAGUUGGGUCCAUCUGUACCUGGUUUCGGGUACCUUGGCCAGAAUUUUGAGGGAUUUGCGUGAAAUGUGCCCUUUCAUGAAAUUUCGUAUGGCUGUCUUUGAGUCGCUGACUAUGAAUAUGGCUGUGGCGAAGACGUACGGCAAGGCGAUUUCAACUUCCUCCCCAACCUCCGGCGAGGUCGUAAUGACUGAGCUUGCAGCAAUAGUUUGAUUUUGUUGAUCUAGUACAGCUGCUGUCAUGGCGUUUCGAUCACGAUACUUAGCCGCGUCUACAUAGGCCACGCCUUUGCAAAGUGUUUUUGUAAGGAUUUGGCACUUUCCUGCUUGCGCUCUUGGUUGUGCGGAGGGUGGGUGUUCUUAGGUAAUGGUGGGACGUGUAUGUGUUUUUUUAACUCUGUGGGAAUGUCCAGCUUUGGUCCGAAUUGUAUGCUUAAUCCCGAGUGAUUGGAAAAUGUGUUGCCCCGUCGCAGACUGGGAGAGUCGCUCCAGAUGGGUAAUUAUUUGGGCUUCUAUGAGCUCAUCAAGAGUACUGCGUAUACCUAGAGCCUCAAACUUUUCCUCUGUGGUCAUAAUUCGGAGGUGUAGAGCCUGCUUGUAGGCUCUCUUGAUCAUAAGGUUAAUUUUGGUGCGUUCAUCGCUUUUUAGUUGCAGAAUGAGGUAUAACAUAUACUAUUCUGCUUAUGAUAAAAGCCUGUACCAACCUUAGAUUAAUUUCAUUCAUUCCAUAGUGUCUGUUGGCGAUGUGCGAAAUGAGUCUUGUCAUUUGAUGCACUUGUGAGUCUAGUGCCUUUAUCACUUUGUUGUUGUGUUAUUGGCCUGUAUUCUGAGUCUAAGGAUCCUGAUACUCGAUACUAUUGGGAUGUCCUGUCCGUUAGCUCUGAGCGUGAUUUAAGGGGGUGAUGACAGUUUCCUCCCUCUGCAGGUGGGUCUACACAGUAGUACCUCUGAUUUUUGCAGAAAGCAAGAAACCCUUUAGGUGUUACAUAUUCAGUGGCUACUACGUCGCGCUUUGCAAAGUUUCAUGGAUUUCUCUGUCACUCCCUCCGGUUACCCAGAGUGUUACGUCGUCUGCAUAUAAGCUAUGCUGUAGUUAAGGGAUUUUGGCUAUAGCUUGCUUGGCAAUCCUAGCGUGGCCAUGUUGAAGAGGUAGGGAGACAGGACCGAGCUCUGGGGCGUCCCUGUAUUCCCAAGUGAAAUGCUCUCCGAGGUUACCCCACCAGCAGUGAUUGUGGCUGUCCUGUCUUUGAUGUAAAAAGUUUUUGAUGUAAUUGUAUUCUCUGGAGUCAACUGCUAAUUUGUUUGGCUGGCCAAUGCAGAUGUGGUCUUUGAAAGGUGAAGAUGUUCCUCCAUCUGUACUCUGGGGUACAAACAAGAUGGCACCAUGGACAUGUGCCAAAGAGAGUUUCUACCAGCACUGUACUGGCUUGCCCUCCACCUGCCAACCCGUAGCUUCAGUGCUGUGGCUGUCCACCGUGGUCCUCAACAGCAGAGCUUGAUGACCAAGCUUGUCACCAGCAGCUCCAUCGUAUGCUAUAGAAGCCUAUGAGGAAGCAGCAGGUGCUCAACUAGCCUCGUCUUGUGCUACAUGGACCACACACCAUCAGCAAUGAAAUGCCAUAGGAUGCUCACCACGUUAUAAUUUUUAAAUGCUAGUCAUUGUAAAUUGGUUACUUACGGUGUUGUUCAGAUUGACUUUUGCUUGUAGCUGUAGAUAUAUGUCUUGUAACCUUUCAUUUGCAUAUGUUGUAGCAUGCUCACCGUGUUAUCAUUUUUAAAUACCAGUCAUUGUAAACUGGAUUCUUGUUUUUUUUCAGUUUGACUUCUGCAUGAAGCUGCUCAUUUGUGUUUCGUAAUCUUUAGUGAUUUCUCUUUUUAUUUACUUAUAAAUGCCUCUUGUUCAUUA